CCGAGUUAUACAACUCCCAAACCCAAUGUGAACCAUACCUAAACUGUUGCCUCGGCGGGAUCACGACCGGGCCGUCGCAGCACCGGAACCAGGCCGCCCGCCAGGAGGACCAACCUAACUCUUCUGUAGUCCCUCGCGAAUGUUAUUUCUGUACAGCUAUGAGCAAAAUUCAAAUGAAUC
rnacentral:misc_RNA from 1 species